rnacentral:rRNA from 1 species
UAAGGAAUAUUGGUCAAUGGACGCAAGUCUGAACCAGCCAUGCCGCGUGAAGGAUGAAGGUCCUCUGGAUUGUAAACUUCUUUUAUCUGGGACGAAAACGGGAUUUUUAUCUCAAUUGACGGUACCAGAGGAAUAAGCACCGGCUAACUCCGUGCCAGCAGCCGCGGUAAUACGGAGGGUGCGAGCGUUAUCCGGAUUUACUGGGUUUAAAGGGUGCGUAGGUGGGCUUAUAAGUCAGUGGUGAAAUCUCCGAGCUUAACUUGGAAACUGCCGUUGAUACUAUAGGUCUUGAAUUAUCUGGAGGUAAGCGGAAUAGGGCAUGUAGCGGUGAAAUGCUUAGAUAUGACAUAGAACACCAAUUGCGAAGGCAGCUUACUACAUAUAAAUUGACGCUGAGGCACGAAAGCGUGGGGAUCAAACA